rnacentral:lncRNA from 1 species
GGAGGAUGCUGUGCAGGAGAGCACUGGGGAUGGGAAGAUGCUGUGCAGGAGAGCACUGGGAAUGGGAGGAUGCUGUGCAGGAGAGCACUGGGGGAUAGGAGGAUGCUGUGCAGGAGAGCACUGAGGGUGGGAGGAUGCUGUGCAGGAGAGCACUGGGGGAUGGGAGGAUGCUGUGCAGGAGAGCACUGAGGGUGGGAGGAUGCUGUGCAGGAGAGCUCUGGGGGAUGGGAGGAUGCUGUGCAGGAGAGCACUGGGGGAUGGGAGGAUACUGUGCAGGAGAGCACUGAGGGUUGGGAGGAUGCUGUGCAGGAGAGCACUGAGGUGGGGAGGAUGCUGUGCAGGAGAGCACUGGGGGAUGGGAGGAUACUGUGCAGGAGAGCACUGAGGGUGGGAGGAUGCUGUGCAGGAGAGCACUGGGGAUGGGAGGAUGCUGUGCAGGAGAGCACUGGGGAUAGGAGGAUGCUGUGCAGGAGAGCACUGGGGGAUGGGAGGAUGCUGUGCAGGAGAGCACUGAGGAUGGGAGGAUGCUGUGCAGGAGAGCACUGGGGAUGGGAGGAUGCUGUGCAGGAGAGCACUGGGGGAUGGGAGGAUGCUGUGCAGGAGAGCACUGGGGAUGGGAAGAUGCUGUGCAGGAGAGCACUGAGGAUGGGAGGAUGCUGUGCAGGAGAGCACUGGGGGAUGGGAGGAUGCUGUGCAGGAGAGCACUGGGGAUGGGAAGAUGCUGUGCAGGAGAGCACUGAGGGUGGGAGGAUGCUGUGCAGGAGAGCACUGGGGAUAGGAGGAUGCUGUGCAGGAGAGCACUGAGGGUGGGAGGAUGCUGUGCAGGAGAGCACUGAGGAUGGGAGGAUGCUGUGCAGGAGAGCACUGGGGAUGGGAGGAUGCUGUGCAGGAGAGCACUGGGGAUGGGAAGAUGCUGUGCAGGAGAGCACUGAGGGUGGGAGGAUGCUGUGCAGGAGAGCACUGGGGGAUGGGAGGAUGCUGUGCAGGAGAGCACUGAGGAUGGGAGGAUGCUGUGCAGGAGAGCACUGAGGGUGGGAGGAUGCUGUGCAAGAGAGCACUGGGGGAUGGGAGGAUGCUGUGCAGGAGAGCACUGAGGAUGGGAGGAUGCUGUGCAGGAGAGCACUGGGGAUGGGAGGAUGCUGUGCAGGAGAGCACUGGGGGAUGGGAGGAUGCUGUGCAGGAGAGCACUGGGGAUGGGAAGAUGCUGUGCAGGAGAGCACUGAGGAUGGGAGGAUGCUGUGCAGGAGAGCACUGGGGAUGGGAGGAUGCUGUGCAGGAGAGCACUGGGGAUGGGAGGAUGCUGUGCAGGAGAGCCCUGGGGAUGGGAGGAUGCUGUGCAGGAGAGCACUGAGGGUGGGAGGAUGCUGUGCAGGAGAGCACUGGGGAUGGGAGUAUGCUGUGCAGGAGAGCACUGGGGGAUGGGAGGAUGCUGUGCAGGAGAGCACUGAGGGUGGGAGGAUGCUGUGCAGGAAGCACUGGGCAUGGGAGGAUGCUGUGCAGGAGGAGAGGACUAGACAGUGAGGAGACUUUGUGGACGUCUCUGUGAAGAGGUGCAGAUGUAUUGAGACCCAAGGGGAGAAGGAAGAUGUGCUUGUAGGUGUUCUUGGCUUAUUAUUAGGUUGCGCCUGCUUCCUAGUGAGCCUGACUGAUCACUGGAAACUCCUCUAAUG